GUUUAGAUCGAUACUAAAUUCUAGAGGAGAAUGCACAUUUUAGAGAGGGAAGUCAUGGAUCCCCAGGCACUGAGCACACGGGGGCGGAACAAUGGUCCCCGACUCCCAGAGCAGGACAUGGCCGCUUUACCACCUCCUCAUGUCCUUGCUGCUCUGAGCUCCCUGGGCCUCUGCCCCCUGCUCCCUGAGGAGCUCUCCUCCCUCGCUGCACUGGCCUUUCCCUUUAGGGCAGCCCUGCCCUAGAUUUGCUGCUACCCUCUCCUAAUCAGCUCCGCUCAGCUCCUGGCCACGACAACAGCGCCACCACACACGCCAGCAGGACCCUCAAGACAGGACUCUGGUCACACCCUGGACCCCCAUCUCAGCCCCCACCCCACACACUUCAGAUGUUGACUUGUAGCCCAAGAGAGGUGGGUCCCAAAUGGUACGGACGAGAGAGGUGCCCACACGAGGCCUUUCUUUCUGACCAGCCAGCCAAUGAGCAAGCCCCAGCUGCCCACAGAGUUUUGGACCAGGUAGAACCAAGCUCCCAA